UUGCGAAUAAUCCAUGUCAUUAAUCUCGCAAAUUAAUAUAUUUUGAUUGACUCUAUUAUUGUGGCAGAAAUUAAAAGUUUUAAUUUUAUUUAGUCUAUUCAUCAUGCGCAAGCACCUAGUGAGUAGUUAUAAUGUAUUUGGUGUUGUGCGGUCUAAUUUUAUCUAGGCAGACUUGUUUUGAUUGAUAACUUGCAAAAUAAAAAAUGCAGAUUUAGUAAUUGUUAAAUUUAUUGAAACCAAUCCCAUUUUUCUUUGGUAACUUUUUGGGUUUAAGUUUUUUUCUUUUCUUGUUUAGAAGUAUUAUCAUUUUUUUUUUUUUUUGGUAAAAAAGUAUUAUCAUUUUGCUACGCUUUUCGUGAUGUUGUCGAUCAAAACUAUUAGCAUCGAUAAUCAUAUCUGCCUCAUAUAUUAAAGAACAUGGGUAAUGAUCUUCUUCAAACAAUUAAUGGGUUCUUGUGGAAAUAGUUCUUUCUUGUAUUGCAUGAAUUCUCUAAACGUAUAAUCAGAGUUGGAGAUCUGCACUUCGUACUUCUGUUAGAAUUAUUUUCCAUAAACUUUGUUUCUUUGAUAAAGAUCAUUUAUACUAGUGCCGUCUCAAAUUAUUUAAAGAAUAUUAAC
rnacentral:lncRNA from 1 species